GACGAACGCUGGCGGCGUGCCUAAUACAUGCAAGUUGAGCGCUGAAGGUUGGUACUUGUACCAACUGGAUGAGCAGCGAACGGGUGAGUAACGCGUGGGGAAUCUGCCUUUGAGCGGGGGACAACAUUUGGAAACGAAUGCUAAUACCGCAUAAAAACUUUAAACACAAGUUUUAAGUUUGAAAGAUGCAAUUGCAUCACUCAAAGAUGAUCCCGCGUUGUAUUAGCUAGUUGGGGAGGUAAAGGCUCACCAAGGGGAUGAUACAUAGCCGGACUGAGAGGGUGGUCGGCCACAAUGGGAAUGAGACACGGCCCCAGCUCCCACGGGAGGCAGCAGUAGGGAAUCUUCGGCCAUGGGCGAAAGUCUGACCGAGCAAAGCCGCGUGAGUGAAGGAGGUUUUCGGAUCGUAAAACUCUGUUGGUAGGGAAAAAAGAUGGUGAGAGUGGAAAGCUCAUCAAGUGACGGUAACUAACCAGAAAGCGACGGCUAACUACGUG
rnacentral:rRNA from 1 species